UCCCGUCCCUCCCCCUUGUUUUCUGCCCUUCCUGUCCUUUUGGUCCUUUCUGUUCCGUCUGGUCCCUGUGUCUGUAUGCGUGUCUGUCUGCUCCUUGGUUGCCCCAGUAGGUUUGGUUGGGCCCAUGGGGCGCCGGGAGGCGCCCGUUGGGGGGGGGUACUGUCACAGUUCCGCUCCUCUGUCCUGUCUGUCGGUCUGGUUGUCUCCCAUCCGCUCCUCUGCCCUGUCUGUCUAGUUGUCUCCCAUCCGCUUCUCUACCCUGUCUCUCCUCCCACAGCUCGGUGCCUGAGUGGAGUCUAGCUUCUCAGCUGACUCCACUCAGGCAAUCAACUACCUCCACGGCUCCCAGACAGCUAACUAUCAUCUCACUAACGACUCACCUCUACAAUAAGUACCGGCUCAGCCUUCCACUCCCUGCCAGAGUGUUGAACCAAAACCACAUACCAGCUGUCCGGGAUCCCCGCUGUCAUCCUUCCCCUCCGGCUCUCCCCCAGCCAGUUAUCACCGGUUCUUCCCUGCCUGGAACCCCCCACUCCUGCCUGGAACCCCCCACUCCUGCCUGGAACCCCCCACUCCUGCCUGGAACCCCCCACUCCUGCCUGGAACCCCCCACUCCUGCCUGGAACCCCCCACUCCUGCCUGGAACCCCCCACUCUUGCACUCUGGUUUCUCCAUCCUGGCCAUAAUCCACCCCAUACAAUAAAGCAUUCUAAAUCAUCCUCUGGUUGAGGAAGCGUGGCUCUCUGCUCAGGUCCAACCAGCUCUGUUUUGUGACAGCUCAGCUUUGACACUGUGGAUCAUGGCACCCUGUUAAUCUGUUAUAUCUCCGACCUCCUUCACUCGUACACCACAAAUCGAGCUCUCAGGCUGUGAUCCACGAGUUGCAAAGAAUUGCCAACACCGUUCCACUCAGCAUCCAUUGUACGACUAAAGAUACAGAGCUUGCCGGAUAUUCCAUUCCCAAGGGUACGAUGAUCCUCCAGAACUUGAGCUCAGUGCUGAAUGAGGAGGGACAGUGGAAAUACCCUCAUGAAUUCAAUCCUGAGAACUUCCUCAAUGACCAAGGAGAGUUAGUUAAACCAGACGCCUUCAUGCCUUUCUCUGCAGGUCCUCGGAUGUGUCUCGGAGAGGGUCCGGCAUGUAUCGAGCUUUUCCUCAU